rnacentral:tRNA from 1 species
GCCCGGGUCGCUUAGCGGAAUAGCGAUGGCCUCGAGAUCUCUCCCCAAGAAGGGGGUCAUGAAAGCCAUUGACCCACACGGGUCGCGUGGGUUCAAAUCCCACCCCGGGCG